AUGGUCACCACCUGGAAGACAAACUUAUCAAGACCUGCCUGUUGAAGAUCUUCACAGUGGACGCAGCUCCCAGUCAUUUGUAACUCCCACAGAACAGCUACGGACAUAUUUAUUUGACAAUGAUGUACCACCACCUGACAUCAUGGAUGAACUGAGAACCAAUCUUAAUGUGACAUGAGAGGAGCUGAUAGCAACUUGGCAACACUAAGAAAUUCGGGAGAUCGAUGAAAGAAGAUCUGUCCUGAGCUCCUCAUCUGGAAAGGUAGCUAACAAAAACAGUUCAGAAGUCGAUUCAGAACGAUCGAAGAGCAAAAGGCGUUAUUCAUCUAAACAUAGCAAUGAUGGACUUGAACCAGUGUCAGAGGACAAUGGAUUUCAUCACCCUGAUCCAAACUUUAAGGUAUCAAGGUUAUCUGGAAAUGGCCCAACACCUGUAUGACCUGAUCAAGAACUAUUGAUGGAAACUGGACCGACCCAGACACAACAGCCUAUCAGCAGU